UAAUUCUCAGCGUGUAAUGUUUUGUUUUGCUGUUGGUGAAAAUCGAAAGAAAACAAACAUGCAGAAUGUUUCCUUUUUGCUGCUUUCCGUUUCGUUAGGGGAUUCUGCUAGAGAAUUUCGUGUGUACAAAUAGCCGCUGUGCCGUAUAUUGAAGCUGACUGAAAACUGUAGCCUGCCUUAAAAUGCAUCUAAAUGCUAUGUGGUUAUAAGCAGCAGGUUCCAGAACUCGUCCAUAAUGAGAAUGGAACUUAUCUCGGUCUGCACCUUGGUCUGCACAGGCACUCAGCAGAAGCAGAACAUCUUUAUUGGAAUUGACCGCAACUUAGCAGCUCAUCCUGCUUCCCUUGCCAGUUAUCGAGUCGGGCUUCCGGGACAACAGCAAGCUAAUGGAAUAACAACCGAUAUUCAAAAGUCAUACAGCCAACCAGGACCAUGCCACCAGAAACUGUUCGGCAAUAUUUUGCGGUGUGAUUCCUCUGGAGACAAGAUCCGCAGGAUUUUGAACAUCUGGAACGUGGUACCACUAGAAACCUUCCGUUGAACGUUGAACAUUUGCGCACCUGUUUCUAACAUUCGUGCUCCAGGAGGAUGUCUUAGUUGCUAUCCACCGUUACACACAAGUAGAGUCCGUCCAGAAAUGUGCAGGUAAUGAGAGUCUGAUGGCCUUCUUCACCUUGUCAUACAUCUCCGCAGCCAAUAGUGCACCACACAACUUUAACCUCGAGAUUGUUUGGCGCUUUAACUGCGCAGCAUUCGAUUUUGA